AUUACAAAAGUGGUAGUAACUAAUUAAUUUUACAAUCAAGUGCAAUUGCUGUUAAUCAUAUAGAGGUCGUAGUUAUUUUAGGCAAAACUAAAUUAAUUUUUAAUUUGCAAAUUAAAUGGUUUACUACCAUUUAGUAAAAGGAAUCGAUUACACAUAAAAAAUUACAAAAUUAACUUAUUAAAAAUAUCAAUUAAUACCCCAAAUUACCACGUUAUUUAUCUGUCUGUACAAGCACAUGAGUUUUUAUUUGGCUGUCACAUUUGCAAUAGCCGAAACAGUGGCGGCGCCAAGGGGGGGGGG